rnacentral:lncRNA from 1 species
CGUGUCCCUUGGCCUGCAAGGCCAUCCAACCGGUCCGUCCUAGAGGAGAUCCACCCUGACUGCCCCUUAGAAGGCCAGAUCCCGAAGAGGACAUUCCAAGACUUUGGCCACCUCAUGAGAAGGAAGAAGGACUCGCUGGAGAAGAGCCGAAUGCUGGGAACGAUGGAGGGCAAGAGAAGAAGAAGAAGAAGGGGACGACGGCAGAGAAGGAGGCGGCUGGAUGGAGUCCCUGAAGCAGCCGGCCUGAGCUUGAAGGGAUCCCAGGGGAGAGUAGAGGACAGGAAGGCCUGGAGGAAUGUGGUCCAUGGGGUCACGAUGGGUCGGACACGACUUCACAACUAACAGCAACAACAUGGUUGUAAGUCGAGGACUACCUGUACCCUAGAGUUUUGCAGCACUGCAGAAUAAUGCAAGAGUUGCAAGAAACCAAAUGAAAGGUGGGGGAAACUUGGGAGGGCGAACCUUCCCUCCCUUUCAUCGUGACCCUUCCUUUCUGGAUUCCGGAGAUUUUCAUCCAGUAUAUCCUGCUAAGGUUUUGAUUGGCGGGUCUGCAUAAGCCAGCAUGAAUCCUUGCUGCUUUGUGCUCAGGCAGCGCGACUGUGAACCACAGCCAUGUCCGACUUUGUGGAAAGCGAAGCGGAAGAAUCAGAGGAGGAGUAUGACGAAGAUGGGGAAGUGGUCUCGAGACCCCCCAAAAAGUUUGUGGAAGACGAAGACGAGGAGGAGGAAGAGGAGAACCUGGACGACCAGGAUGAACAAGGGAACCUGAAAGGGUUCAUCAACGACGACGACGAUGAGGAAGAGGAGGAGGAGGAAGAGGCCAGCGAUUCCGGAGACUCGGAGGACGACGUCGGCCGGAAGAAGAGGAAACGCA